rnacentral:lncRNA from 10 species
CAGAUGAUGGUGACAGAAAUCACAAUGGCAGCGAUCACUGACUGGAUGCUUACUCAUGGCCAGAGACAGUAUUAAGUAUUUUUCAUGAAUGAUUUCACAUCAUCCUCAGAAUUUCAAAUCCACCAGAUAGAUGAGGAAACAGAGGCUCAGAAGGAUCAUGCAACUUCACCAAGACCCUGCUGCAGAAUCUUCUUGGGCCGUUACUCCCUCGGAGUGAAGCAAAUCCUUCAUAGGGAAUGCUGGAUGUGCCUGUAACAAACUGUCAACCCAAGAAAACAGAAGGAGAAGGUGAAGCCAGAGACCAACAGCCAGGAAAGGCAUCACGUCAUUCACGGGCAGAGCUCCUGAGGAAGAGCAGGCAGGAAAGUUCUGAAGACAAAACUUCACAGGUUUUCUGGUGGGAAAGAAACCAGGCUGAAGUGUGCUUAGGGUGUGAAUUUGAGGUAAGUGUAGACAGUCAGUAUAGACUAGUUUUUCAGGAAGCUUAAAUGAGAAGAUAAGAGAUAAGGCAAUGAAAUGGGAAGAUGCAAAGUGGGCCACAAAGAACCAAAGAGACAGAAAACGGCACCUGUUCCCCAGUGCUACAGCUGUGAAGACACUGAAAGAGAAGAAGGCAAAAGUCUUUCUACUGACCCUCCCAAGGGCCCACAAGAAGCAUUUUGUUUGCUUUCAUUUGAGGUCUAGGCUUCCAUUUUACAGUAAGCAAGUGCGUGGCCUCAGUUAGGGUAUGAGCUGGACAGAGCCAAGUGAUAAUUCAGUGCAUUCUCAUCGCAAAUUUGAGCUACUAUCCCACAGACAGUUGUCUUCUGUUCAGCCUUGUAAAUGGCUGCUGAUUAUAGGACAGAAACAAUUAGCCCUACAUUUUACAAUAACUGCAAUCUUUCAUUAACAAUGAAGAAAAAGUUCUGUGAAUGCUGAAUUUUCAUUUUCCAUAAUAAAUUACUAAGGGCAUAGAGAAAGUUUAAGAAACAUAUGGCACUGUCCACCCUUGACAAACAAAUAAAAAACAAAACCAAAACAAAGGAAAAUGAAGAUUUGAACGAGGAGUAAGCAUUUGAAAAUAUGCAUCAAGCCAAAUAUAAAAUGUGUCUCAUAAAGGAGAGGGGGGCUGUGAGUCACUAAGACUAACCCACAACAAUUCUAUUAAUAAUCUGCAUUAAUACCACAGGAAUCCCAGGGCUGUGUUUGAAGUACAAUUGUUUUAAAGAAACACAUGCUGCAACAAAUGAGAAUAAAUUUUGGGGGGUAGAGCAAAACUAAAAAUCUGGGGGCUAAAUAGGUCAGAGGCAGGAAAAACACAGUAAUCAUAUUUGAAAUUGCAUUAGUUUCAGAAAUCUAAACCACUAUUAGGUUUAAUAACAACAAAUUUGAGAUUGUGAACAGAUAAACAAUGACUUUGACAGAAGAAUUUUUUCAAAAAAGUAAAUACUGCAUUUUACAUGCUAAUUAUGCAGGCAAUAAAAAUAUUCUUACAUUCUGAGAAGAGCCUUAUAAAAGGGCCGUGUGAAGAAGGCAUCCAACAAAUACUGGUGUAUUAGUGCAAGACCAAGGAUCCUACCACUGAAUCGGAACCUGUGAAGGAAACACAUGAGAUGGCUUACAUGUCAUGGAGCAGUUUCUAGGUGGUUCCAUAUGCUUUCUAGAAUGCCUUCCAGCGCUAACCAUCUAAAUUUUUCCAAUAUUAAUUGCCUACUAGGUAGUGAGAAUUUGUAGGCACCAUGGGCUGUGUCUUCAUCAGGCCAGUGGUACAGUUUGUAUACUUGUCCCUGCCCAAAUGUCAUGUUGAAUUGCAAUCCCCAUUGCUGGGGGUGGGGCCUGGUGGGAGGUGUUUGGAUCAUGGAGGCUGAUCCCUUAUGGCUUGGUGCUAUCUUCAUGAUAGUGAGUUCUCAUGAAAUCUGGUCAUAUAAAAGUGUGGCACCUCCCUCCAACACACACACACACUCUCUCUCUCUCUCCCUCCUGCUUUUGUCAUAUGAUGUGCCUGCUUCCCCUUUGCCUUCCACCAUGAUUGAAAAAGCUCCCUGAGACCAUCCCCAAAGCCCAGUGAUUUGGGUGCUAUGCUUCCUGUACAGCCUGCAGAAUCAUGAGCCAAUUAAACUUCUUUUCUUUAUAAAUUACCAGUCUCAGGUAUUUCUUUAUAGCAAUGCAAGAAUGGGCUAAAACAGCCAGUAAUUCAUACCUACUUGUUGAAGAAUCAGUUUCACUCAUAUUUAGAGACCCUGCUCCACCUUCACUGCAUAUCAACAAUGUAGCACCCCACAUUCAUGAAUCCCCUGUGAGCAUUUCAGUGACAUUUCCCCAAACCACUUCUAAGAGAUGUUGACAGAUGAGACCUCUGGAGGUGGGGAAAAUGCUAUUCCCUCCUAGUGUGUAUGCAUGAAUAUUAGCAGAAUUUCUCAAUACAAACUCAGUAGCAAUUCCUUUCUGAGGAAAGGCCCAGUCUCAGAUCAAGAAAGUUCCUAUCCCUAUUCUCUCUCAAGACCCAUUCCUGAUAUUUUCACCAUUCAAGAAUUGUGCACAUGGACAUUUGGGGGAGUUUCCUUCUGGGACAUUCUGUUCUCUAAAAUUUCAAGGCUCAAUUCUAUUCUGAAUCACUUUGGAAAUUUUAUUAAAUAUAUUUGUUAUGACUGGAUUUGCUGCCUGAGAUGUAAACUUACUUUCUCUUUCAAAAGGAUUCAAGUUUCUAGCUCUUUGAAAGUCUGAUGCCUUCCAAAAGUAUAAAUCCAUACUGAGAUUCGUACAGUAAGUUUGUAAUUUUAGUAUUGGGCAGCCAUUUUAAGAACAAUGUCCAGCAGUAUGGUUCCUCUUUAUUUCCAUUUAUUUAGCACAACUGUAAUAGUCACAGAAGAAGGACUUCAAAUUGCAGCUAAACAGAAGUUAAUUUGAAGAGUAAGUCCUAAAAGAUAACGCCCUCCACCCAACAAUAUUAAUCUCAUGAUUCAAAUAAGCUUUUUCCAUGAAUCCUGCUCAUAUUCUUUCCUUUGUUGCUGUCAGGGAAAAUGAACAGGAACAAGCAAACAGGGGUUAUACAAAUAUUUGAAGUGUAUAAAUGCAGAGAUUUAAAAAAGAUGUAAGGACAUUUGGAAAGAGUGCAAUUUGGGAUUUUCAGCAUAAAUAAUCUUCAGAUGGGAAUCCUAAAUCAGUUUCCUUGAUUUUGUGUGAGAAAUUAGGAAAGAGGGAGGCAACACCUGGUUACAAACUUCAAAUGGCUAAUACGGUAAGUGGCCACUGCUUGUGACUCCCCACUCCUGCCCUUCUACCAUCAAUGCCCCCAGGUCACUACACCAGCCCCACUGCCCACUAGAGCACCAUCAUUACCAGAGUUGAGAGUCAGAGCCCCAGCCAGAGUUCCAGCUGCCCUGUCUCCUCCUCCCAUGGCAGCCACUGCCCCAAGGGCUGCUCUAGAAGCUGUCUGAUCUCUGGGUCAGGCCCUUCCCCUCCUCAUCCCCACCUCAGCUUAGAGCUCAUAGGCACCCAAAGGUACAGAGAGGAAUAUAGGGAUCUCACCAGGAACGCAUCAUCUCUUUCUUGCAAUGGGAAAUACCUUUUGAAUUCUACCCAACUCACUUAAAUUGAUCUUAUGGAGCAGAUCAAUUCCCAGCUAUCAACAGAUCUAGUCCUAGCUUGGAGACUGCCUAUAUAUUUAAAUUUGACAAUAAAAACAAGAGUCAAAUGAGGUAUUUAACUGAAAAUAUGACUUUGCCCAAGGGAAAAAAUGUUUUAAUGUUUAAAUGUGGGUUCUAUAAAAAAACUAAUAUCAUAGGAAAUCGCCUGAAGAAAAGUGUUGGGGAAAAAAUACUUACCAUUCAUGGUGAUUGUCUACAAAAGCAGACAUAGGACUUAUUUGUACUGUGUAUGUGUCAUUGGCUGAAUAUUCAAAUAAGCCAUAAUAUGGGUUAAAGAGUUCUCUGGAUACCAGGAAGAAAAACUCUCUAGAAGGCCCACUGUAAUCCAGCCUGUAACAAAAAUCCACAAAAAGAAUAAUCUGUUACUUUUUUUCUAGAUAUUGGGCAGUUUUUCUCCAGAGCUCAAGUUUCCAUAGGAUGCUCAUUACAAAUCUAAUUGUCCACAUGCCAGAGCUGUCCAAAACAAACUGAAUGAUCAUAGUUUCUGAUCUCAUUGUGUCUUGACCCAGAUUAGUAAAAUGGACAUUUAUGUGGAGCAUACCUAAAACUAAGCCACACAUCAUACAACAGGCAUACAAUAGGCAACAUUCUAAUACAUACAAUAGGCAAUAUGCUAAUAUUUUGAUUAUGUAAACAUGUAUAAAGAGGUAAAUCUUUCGAAUGUCAGGAGCAAGCUUAUACAAAAAGGGAGCACAACGAGAAAGCUUUAUUUAAACAGGGUAAAACCAGGGGGAAUCAGUUACAUAUGCUCACAGGACAUGGAGUCCUCAUGGAUAUCUGAAAUAUUUUUAAAUGGGAGAAGAAAGAUACUUCCAUGAAUUCAAGAUUAAGACAUUACAGAUACAAGUCCCAUUAGGGAGCUCAGUAGCAAAAAAUGGAGUGAUAAGGUGCAAAUGUUUUAAAUGAUAAAACACAAAGGAAAAUUACAGACAAGAAAAAUGAGGGUGCCUAAAGCUUCCUAAGGAAGGCAUUUGGAGAAAGAGGCUGAAACUCUAACACCUGAGCUACAGUAUAAAUUCUACUUUACUUACAAAGAUGUCAGGGUCAAACUGAAGUGUAAGAAAAGAUUGUGUUAGGUCUGAGGAAUGACAAGUGGCCAAAAAUGACGAGAGUAAAAAAUGCAAAGUAAGGAGGAGUUUGCAGUAAAGCAAUGUGAUGUGCUAAAUUUAAAAUGAAAAAUAUAAAGUACAUCGACCCUAUGAUAAAAAGUAUACACGUGGGCUCAAAGAUAGGGAAGGAAUGCUGAAAAGGGAAUGAAGGCAACUGAGAAGCUGGGGUGGAGGAGGGAUUGUGAAAGACUUUUCUUCUCCUUCUUCCUCUUUUCUCCCUCUAUCUUAUUUUUUCUUCUUUUUGAAUUUUUUUUUUGUGGGCAUCAUUGCAUUUUUUUAAUGAAAAAAAAAUCUGAGUCUUGUUCAGUGAUAGGAUUGUGUGAAGGAGGAAAAAACAGAUCCUAGGCAGGGCAUGUUGGCUCAUGCCUGUAAUCCCAGCACUUUGGGAAGCCAAGGCGGGAAGAUCCAUUGAGUCAAGGAGUUUGAGAUAAGCCUGGGCAAGGAGUUUGAGAGAGUGACACAGUGAGACCCCCGUCUCUACAAAAAAUAAGAAAAAAUUAGCCAGGUGUGGUGGCAUGUGCCAGUAGUCCCAGCUACUUGGGAGGCUGAGGCAGGAGCAUCUCUUGAGCCCAAGAGUUUGAGGCUGCGUGAGCUAUGAUCACGCCACUGCACUCCAGCCCAGGUGAUGGAGAAAGAACAGCAGCAACAAAAAGGAUCCUAUAGGCAGAAGAUAAAUAAAAAUGGUUUACACAGAACAGACUUCAAUUAUUCAUACUACUUUCCCAAUUUUUGUUAUAUCUGAAUAUAUAUGUACCAUUAUUAAUAUUUUUCAUUAAAUCAACUUUAAAUCUAUUUGCUUUUUAAUAGAACUUUGUCUUACACAAUCUUUAUAAAGUUUUGAUGUGCUAGCUCUAUUGUUUCCCAAUGUACCUUAAAAUGAAUACAUGAAUAUUAAAAUAAAAAAGUCAGU